rnacentral:misc_RNA from 1 species
GUGAGUCAUCGAAUCUUUGAACGCACAUUGCGCCCGCCAGUAUUCUGGCGGGCAUGCCUGUCCGAGCGUCAUUUCAACCCUCGAACCCCUCCGGGGGAUCGGCGUUGGGGAUCGGGACCCCUCACCGGGUGCCGGCCCUGAAAUACAGUGGCGGUCUCGCCGCAGCCUCUCCUGCGCAGUAGUUUGCACAACUCGCACCGGGAGCGCGGCGCGUCCACGUCCGUAAAACACCCAACUUCUGAAAUGUUGACCUCGGAUCAGGUAGGAAUACCCGCUGAACUUAAGCAUAUCAAUAAGCGGAGGA